rnacentral:piRNA from 1 species
UAGGCCUCAAUCCAUUGACUGAAAAACCUU